rnacentral:lncRNA from 1 species
UUCAUGGUCAUCUACUGCUGUCCAGGUACAUAACUAGGUUAUCCAAAUUCAUGGUCAUCUACUGCUGUCCAGGUACACAACUCCAAUGGUCAGUAAGUAGGCUCUGUUCAUAGUCGUUACUGCUGUCCAGGUACACAAUGCUUUUGGUCGGUAGAUGUCCCCAGAACUCCUCAAACAUCCAGGUAUACAUCUUCACAAAACAGUUGGUGUGUGUCCAUUUUCAUCUACCUUUAGCCAGGUAUACAUUUCCAGCCGUCGGUCGGUAUUUCUUCAAAACAUGCCAUUCAUGAAAUUGACAGGUUGUAAGAAAUGUUAGAUAAUGUGGGUUAUAUUUGUGGCCAGUGGUAUGAGGCAGGUACAUCCGAUUGUAUGUAACUUCUCAGGGCAUUUCUCUACACAAUGAAUGUGUAUGGGACCUAGGUAUUAAUCAUGUAUAUUCGUGUAUAUCCAUGUAACCAGUACGGUAUCGCUGUGUUAGUGUCAUAUUAGGGGAACAAUCCAAUAUAACAAUAGGGUUUAUUGUUGACUCGGGGAAAAAAAAAGCUUGAUUCCAAAGUUCUGGUAUAUAUUGAUGCCAGGUGUGAUAUUUUGCAUCAAAAGAAAAUAUGAAUGUAGUCAUGAACAUGAAAUCUCGGUUCAAAUGAUUCAAGUCUAAUUCUGUAUGUGUAUUCAAUGUCAUUUUAGCGUGCAUUGUGACUACACACAUUGCAAUUGUAUAUCCUUUAAGUAAUAAUCAUUAGUUUAGCAUAUUUGGCUUCAUCCUCGAUAUCCAGGGGUUAUGCUCCCUUUUGCUCUCUACACCCCUGGAAUAUGUCAAAGCGAAGAUUACAAAGGAGACGCCUGACUUCAAAGCUUGUCAAUAUUUACCGUUAUGUGACUGCGAGAUUCUUUUGAUGUAUAUCAAAGGGUCGAAAUAAUCUUCUUGUCUCACCAACAAGGUGGCGCACACCGAGCCUUCGGUUUUGCUAUGACGUAUUCCAGGGGUGCAGAGAGCAAUAGUGAGCGUAACCCCUGGAUAUCGAGGAUGUUUUGACUAUGAUUUUGAGGGAGGGGAUGUUGAAAUGAGCGCUAGGUUUCCUUCUCAAUUUGAUGUUGUGCUACUCAACCAUAUUUAAAUUCAGUUUAAAAAAGUGGUUAGAUGAUGCCAGUUUAAUACUGGGAGUGGGCAUAUCAUUGGUACAGUAGGUAUGAUAAGCACCUCAUCGCGUAAAAUACUGCGUGGUCUGUCUAGUCAAGAAAAAUAGGGCAAGUAGAUUAGGUUUCAGGUCAUAGAUUUAUUUUAAUGUUUUGAAUUGUGUUGAAUUUACUACAUAUUUGGGGUAAAAAAAGAUUUACGCAGGAUCAAAACGUAAUUCAAUAUGCUUUUUAUACAGCAGCCAUGAUCAGAGCAGGUCUAGGUUGAUCAUGAUGUACAUUGUCACUGCUUAGUUUGUCAUCAAGUCCACGUUUGAACGUUUCAAAUAUCUGUAAGUGUAUAACAUGUGUAAUUAAAUAGACAAUAGUUAUGAUUCUGUACAAAGAAUCUACAAUUCACUGGGCCAACAUGAGAAUUAAAUAUAUAAUUUAUUGAAAGUCAAGUCUUUCACAGCAUCAGAUAUAUUUACAAAUUUCUAAUGACACAAAUAACAGAGUCCCCAAAAACAAUUAAGAGAGAAAUAACUCUCUACUCGAUUACGUUAACAUCACCAGUAGUCUACUAAGGAGAAUACUGACUCACCAAUGUUGUUAGAGGCAGUCUGGAAUAUCUUCUUCGUAAUAGGACAAAAUACAAGAGUUGUCUCUCUUUGUUUUCUAUUUUCUAAGGGAAUAUCUGUUAUAAAUAGUAUAACGACAAGUAAUUCUGGGUGGUGUGGUUUUGUAGGGGUUGUCUCGUGAUUCCACAUAAAAAUGGCACUUAGGGCAUAUUUUCACUCAGUUCAUUUGAAGAAAUAAUAAAUGCAUACUUAAAAUACUAAAAAUUUCCAUGGGGGAGAUAACACGUUCUCAAAAUUAAAUGCAUAAAUAUAAAGUGUGUUUGUACACCCUUGGGAAAAAUAACACUUUUGGCAUAGUUUGAGCUAUUCUUUCAGGUGAAAAGUUUAGCUUUUACCAGUUGAAAAUGCUCAAUUUUAGAGUCCAAAAUUGUAACUUGUUUCCUUUAAAUUACCUAGAAAUGAAAUGCAGGAAAGCAAUAUUUGCUGUUGAACAUGUAUCAAUAUGAAAUGUACAAAGUUGUGAUCUAUGUUCACUCCAGUACAGUUAUUAGUGAACUCUUUUUGGUCCCUAGAAAUGUGUCAUUAACGUACAUGGUUAACGGUAAGUAUGUGUCUUAACUCACCCACCCCUGUCAGACACAUUUAAACUCUUCCAAUGCAAAGGUUGGAAUAGUUCAUUAUGAAAUUUCAGGGAUGAAUGACUUAACGCCAGUUACUUGUUGCAUUAGGUACAACUCUACUGCCCCAAAUCCUGCCAAUUGUUCAUUCUGGUUUCAAUAACUAUGAAAAAAAACCACCGUUUGAUAUAAAUGUAUACUACUUAAUCCACAAUUUGUCAUAUGCUACUAAUAUUUAUAUGCAUUACCCGGUAUAUUACAGUAAGAAUUUUAUAUCUAUGUACAAGUAUUCGCUUUUUGCUGCAAAUGUUCUCAAGCUGCUGCUACAUGUACUAAUCUGUUUUUAUUUGUCUUUAUCUUACACUGUUAGAUGAUGCAUUGGUUGAUAACAUUUGAUGUUUGCCAAUAAUUGUGUUCACAUUUUGGAUUACUUUUGCCAUUAGUUAUACCUUAUUGAUCCAUACAGUAGUAAUGCCAUUAUUCUCGUAGUCCCAUCUAUUAUAUUAUUUUGUAUUGAUUGUUUAAGUUUUUAUUAAGGAAUCCAUAGUCUUACUCUAUAACAGAGAUUUAGGGUAUAAUAAAAGUUAAUAAUACCAUCUCCCUACCAAAAUCCUUGACAAAUGUAAUAACUUAAAUUUCAGAUUGUAAACUUCCUUUCCUCAGAAGGAACAUGUCAGCCUCCCCUUAACCCUUUCACCACUGUAGACCAUAAUGGACUCAUCCAGAUCAGUGCAUGGUAGAGUCCACUAAAGUUACAAAGGGGUGAAAGGGUUAAUAUGAAUUUUUCGUGUUAACGAUUAUAUUAUUUAAUUGUUCCGAGGCCGCCUGUCAGGAUAUCGGGGUUUGCUUGACAAAUUCGUCCUAUUGACCAAAUUACUUACCACAGGUGUUCUUAUCAAGAGGCUAAAUCUUAUAUAAUUUGAAGAAAUUGAAUCGUCAUUAUCAAGACCUCAUUUACACCGAGGCUAUUUCAGUGUGCACCCUUUUAAUCAAAGACACGGUCACUGAAACUCGUUCCUACUUAGUGGAAUUUGAUGGGCGACAUCCUGAAGGAUGCUACAUCUGGUGAACUCUUACCCCUUUUGAGCACAUAGUUUCGCCUUCUCAUUUCUUUCCUCUUCUUUAUUUUUGUGAGGGUUCAAGAUGACUCCAUACUCUGGUGUUAAUUGUUAAUUGACUUUUAGUUCUGAGCUUGUCAUUAGGUAUUGACGAUUUUCUACUUUAUUUUCUAUGUAACUUUAGCGUAGAGUAGUUUAAGUGUUUAUUAUUGACAUUUUUGUUCUAGUUUACAGAAAGUAAAUUCUACUUAUUGUGCCAACAGUCCUCACUGUUAUUUCUAACAGUUACUCUAUUUAAAGACACCAGUUUUAAAGAGUAACUGAAAAGUUUACUGGUAUAUAUAUAUAAAUAUACACCUGUCUGUGUUUUGUACAAUUGUUGCUGAUGCCUGCAUUCAGAUGUGAUUCAUGCGUCUGUAAGAUAAAAUACAUAAUAAUCUCAACUUAGCUGAUCGCUGAUGGUGUCUAUAUGAUCAUGCAGAUUGUUACGGUAUAUAAAAUAUUUUUCGAAGUUUA